rnacentral:rRNA from 1 species
UACGUAGGGGGCAAGCGUUGUCCGGAAUCAUUGGGCGUAAAGCGCGUGUAGGCGGCUGAGUAAGUCUGCUCUGAAAGCCCGGGGCUCAACCCCGGGAGGCGGGUGGAUACUGCUCAGCUCGAGUCCGGAAGAGGAGUGUGGAAUUCCUGGUGUAGCGGUGAAAUGCGCAGAUAUCAGGAGGAACACCAGUGGCGAAGGCAGCACUCUGGGACGGUACUGACGCUGAGGCGCGAAAGCGUGGGGAGCAAACAGG